GACCACACGAAGCUGGAAUCGCUAGUAAUCGUGAAUCAGAAUGUCACGGUGAAUACGUUCCCGGGUCUUGUACACACCGCCCGUCACACCAUGGGAGUCAGCAACGCCCGAAGUCAGUGACCUAACCGAGAGGGAGGAGCUGCCGAAGGCGGGGCCGGUAACUGGGGUGAAGUCGUAACAAGGUAUC
rnacentral:rRNA from 1 species